rnacentral:rRNA from 1 species
CAGCGCCACGAGUGGUAACCACGUUUAUUGGGCCUAAAGCGUCCGUAGCCGGUUUAAUAAAUCUUUUGUGAAAUUGUACAGCUUAACUGUACAGCGUGCAAGAGACACUGUCAAACUUGAGACCGGGAGGAGUCAGAAGUAUUCCAGAGGGAGCGGUAAAAUGUUAUAAUCUCUGGAGGACUACCUGUGGCGAAGGCGUCUGACCAGAACGGAUCUGACGGUGAGGGACGAAAGCUAGGGGAGCGAACCGGAUUAGAUACCCGAGUAGUCC